rnacentral:rRNA from 1 species
UACUCCUACGGGAGGCAGCAGUGGGGAAUUCUGGACAAUGGGGGGAACCCUGAUCCAGCCAUGCCGCGUGAGUGAAGAAGGCCUCCGGGUUGUAAAGCUCUUUCGGUCGGGAAGAAAUCGCAUUCUCUAACAUAGGAUGUGGAUGACGGUACCGGACUAAGAAGCACCGGCUAACUACGUGCCAGCAGCCGCGGUAAUA